AACAACAAAGGAAAGGACCAUAAAAAAAACAAAACAAAAAAACAACCAACCAACCGGCCAACCGGACGGACAGACGGACCAACCAACCAACCCAGACCAACCAACGGACUGACUGACAGACGGACAGACCAACUGACCAGUCUCCUAGGCAAGAAGAAACUGGCAAUGACCAUCACCUCUGGUUAAGACAAGCCACCACGCCAUCACCACCACAAACAACAACAACAACAGCAGUGGAUGCAGCCGUUGUCAGGUGCAACCGCAACAGUGUGCGUGCAAGCAGAGAGAACUUUCUAGAAGGAAACUGCCGGGUGGGGGUCGGGG